CGGGCGGCCGUGACCCUGCUGGAGUGCGGGGGGGACCUCCAGCCCCCCGGGGGGUUCCUGCGCCUCCUCUGCCGAGCGUCUGGGUUCACUUUCAGCAGUUUUCCCAUGCAAUGGAUCCGCCAGAGACCCGAGCAGGGGCUGGAGUGGCUCGCGGGCAUCAGCAGCCCUUCUGGUUCCAGCACCAGCUACGCGCCAUCAGUCAAGGGCCAGUUCAGGAUCUCCAGGGACAACGGGCAGAGCUUGGUGACGCUGACCAUGAACAACCUCAAGGACGAGGAUUCCGGAUCCUAUUUCUGUGCCAAAUAUGCUUAUACUCCUGAUGAGAUCGUGACCCGGCCGUUGACUGACGGCACGUAUCUCGGAGUGGCGCCAUCUCUGAGACCCGGGCAGGGGCUGGAAUUCAUCGCCAGCAUCUACUACGGCAGUGGGGGUUACACCUUCUACGGGACGCCGUCGGUGCAGGGCCGGUUCACGAUCUCCAGGGACGACGGGCAGACCUCCAUCUCGUAA